AGAGUUUGAUCAUGGCUCAGGACGAACGCUGGCGGCGUGCUUAACACAUGCAAGUCGAACGGAAAGGCCCUGCUUUUGUGGGGUGCUCGAGUGGCGAACGGGUGAGUAACACGUGAGUAACCUGCCCUUGACUUUGGGAUAACUUCAGGAAACUGGGGCUAAUACCGGAUAGGAGCUCCUGCUGCAUGGUGGGGGUUGGAAAGUUUCGGCGGUUGGGGAUGGACUCGCGGCUUAUCAGCUUGUUGGUGGGGUAGUGGCUUACCAAGGCUUUGACGGGUAGCCGGCCUGAGAGGGUGACCGGCCACAUUGGGACUGAGAUACGGCCCAGACUCCUACGGGAGGCAGCAGUGGGGAAUAUUGCACAAUGGGCGGAAGCCUGAUGCAGCAACGCCGCGUGCGGGAUGACGGCCUUCGGGUUGUAAACCGCUUUCGCCUGUGACGAAGCGUGAGUGACGGUAAUGGGUAAAGAAGCACCGGCUAACUACGUGCCAGCAGCCGCGGUGAUACGUAGGGUGCGAGCGUUGUCCGGAUUUAUUGGGCGUAAAGGGCUCGUAGGUGGUUGAUCGCGUCGGAAGUGUAAUCUUGGGGCUUAACCCUGAGCGUGCUUUCGAUACGGGUUGACUUGAGGAAGGUAGGGGAGAAUGGAAUUCCUGGUGGAGCGGUGGAAUGCGCAGAUAUCAGGAGGAACACCAGUGGCGAAGGCGGUUCUCUGGGCCUUUCCUGACGCUGAGGAGCGAAAGCGUGGGGAGCGAACAGGCUUAGAUACCCUGGUAGUCCACGCUGUAAACGGUGGGUACUAGGUGUGGGGUCCAUUCCACGGGUUCCGCGCCGUAGCUAACGCUUUAAGUACCCCGCCUGGGGAGUACGGCCCGCAAGGCUAAAACUCAAAGGAAUUGACGGGGCCCCGCACAAGCGGCGGAGCAUGCGGAUUAAUUCGAUGCAACGCGUAGAACCUUACCUGGGUUUGACAUGGAUCGGGAGUGCUCAGAGAUGGGUGUGCCCUCUUUUGGGGUCGGUUCACAGGUGGUGCAUGGCUGUCGUCAGCUCGUGUCGUGAGAUGUUGGGUUAAGUCCCGCAACGAGCGCAACCCUUGUUCACUGUUGCCAGCACGUUAUGGUGGGGACUCAGUGGAGACCGCCGGGGUCAACUCGGAGGAAGGUGGGGAUGACGUCAAGUCAUCAUGCCCCUUAUGUCCAGGGCUUCACGCAUGCUACAAUGGCUGGUACAGAGAGUGGCGAGCCUGUGAGGGUGAGCGAAUCUCGGAAAGCCGGUCUCAGUUCGGAUUGGGGUCUGCAACUCGACCUCAUGAAGUUGGAGUCGCUAGUAAUCGCAGAUCAGCAACGCUGCGGUGAAUACGUUCCCGGGGCUUGUACACACCGCCCGUCAAGUCAUGAAAGUUGGUAACACCCGAAGCCGGUGGCCUAACCGUUGUGGGGGAGCCGUCGAAGGUGGGACUGGUGAUUAGGACUAAGUCGUAACAAGGUAUCCGUAAUCACUAGUGAAUUC
rnacentral:rRNA from 1 species